CAUCGAAAUAAAUUUUAACAAUGAUUUUAACAAUGUUGUAAUCUAAAAUAAAUGAAUAAGUGCUCUUGUUAAGAAAAAAAAUAAAAAUAACAAUUGAAUUAAAAUGAAAAUCAAUUGAAAAUCUUAACAAUUAACCUAAAAUAUAACUAAGUGUUAUAAAUUACUGUAACCUAUAACAAAAUUUAUGAUAUUUAAUUGAAUUGUUUACAAUAUUAUUAAAAAAAAAACAAAAUUAAUAAACAAUAGUACUAAGUAUCUAUUUGUAUUGACAAGUGGCAGUGUUACCAAACUAAUUGAUAAUUUUAUUCUUUAUUUAUAUUGAUUUACGAUAUUAAAAUUAUAUACAAACGUCAGAGCUCAGUGGUGAAGUUAAAAAAAAAUUGUGAUAAAUUUCAUUGUAUUAAAAAAAAUAAAAAAAUAAAAAUUUAUCGUAAAUUAUGUGAUAAUUAGUUUAAAUAAAUAAACAAUAUAUUUAAGUGACAUUUAUGUAAUUUAUUUAAAGCAAAUUUAUGUAUACAUAUUAGGAAAAAAAAUUUUAAAAUAAAAUCAAUCGAAUAAUAUAACAGUUAUUUACUGAAUAUUUUAUUUGAAGUCAAGAAUUAUAUAAAGAGAUAAAAUAUAACAAUAAUUGCUUAAAAUGAAAUUUAAUAUAUUCUCAAGGAAUACUCCAAAAGAAGGAGAAGUUGAAUGUCCAAGCGAUGAUUUGAUUAAACCAAGCGAUAAACCAUUUUUUCGACAAGUUACUAUAGAAGAAGAACCAGAUUCAUUAGACAGUGUCAUAAGUAAUCCACAAUCAUAUCCUAUUACAAUUGUGCCAAGUAGACCUAAAAGUUUUCAUGGUUGUAGCCCAACUUAUUUAAAUGAUAAAAAUAAUUUUAAUAGAAGCCGUAGCUUUCGAAAUAGUUCAAGAAAAUUCCGGAAGCGUGCCAUCUUUAAAAAUGGAGAAUGUAAUGUAAUACAAAAAAAUUUGGAUAAAAAAGGAAUACGUUAUUUACAAGAUAUUUUUACAACACUUGUUGAUUCACAAUGGCGUUGGACUUUGUUAAUAUUUGGAUCAAGUUUUGUUUCAUCUUGGCUCCUAUAUUCAGUAUUAUGGUGGUUAAUAAUGUUAACUCAUGGUGAUCUUGAAGAAAUGCACUUACCAAAUAAUGCAGCUGAAAAUGGUUGGACACCAUGCGUUACACAAAUUUAUUCAUUUACAUCAUGUUUUCUAUUUUCAAUUGAAACACAAACAACAAUCGGUUAUGGUGGUCGAGCAACAACUGAAGAAUGUCCUGAAGCAAUAUUUUUAGUUAUAUUUCAAUCUGUAUGGGGUGUUAUGAUGCAAACAUUUAUGGCUGGAAUUGUUUUUGCUAAAAUGACAAGAUCAAAACAACGUACACAAACAUUAUUAUUUUCAAAAUCAGCUGUUAUAUGUCAGCGUGAUGGUGAAUUAAAUUUAAUGUUUCGUAUUGGUGAUAUGCGUAAAAGUCAUAUUAUUGGUGCAAAUGUACGUGCACAAUUAAUACGUACAAAACAAACAAAAGAAGGUGAAUUAAUGUCACAAUAUCAUACAGAAUUAGAAAUUGGUGCUGAUGAUUGCGGUUCAGAUAUAUUUUUUAUAUGGCCAACAUUAGUUGUACAUAGAAUUAAUGAGGAAUCACCAUUUUAUAAUAUGUCAGCUGCUGAUUUAAUACAAGAUAAAUUUGAAAUUGUUGUUAUAUUAGAAGGUACAGUUGAAUCAACUGGUCAAUCAACACAAGCAAGAUCAAGUUAUUUAAAUAAUGAAAUAUUAUGGGGACAUCGUUUUGAUCCAGUUGUUAGUUAUAAUAAAAAUCGACAAUCAUAUGAAGUUGAUUAUUCGAAAUUUGACGAAACAAUACAAGUUGAUACACCAUUAUGUAGUGCAAGAGAAUUAGCUGAAUUUUAUAAAAUACAAGAUGGUUUUACAACACCAGUUGUUACUGUUACUCCCGCCACAUAAUUAAUAAAAUUUAGUUUGAGAUCCGUCCCCAAUAUGGGACUAUUCUUAGAAAUAUCAACUUAUUUAGAAGAAAGGACUACAUUCGCUUUACGUCAACAGUCAAUAAAUCAAGCCGAAUCUUAGAGAUUCAAUUCCAAAAAAAUAAAUAAAAUAAAUCAUGCUUAUGUGAUACGUCUACAUUAUUUGCAUUAAUAAAAAUCCAAAAAUUUUGUUUUUAUAAUUUAGUUAGAAAGCUUUAAAAAAAUUUUUAGUUUGUUGCUGGCAAUAAAAAUCAUAUUAAGUAAAUAUAAAUAUACUUAUAUACAAUAUAUACAUACAUAUAUGUACAUACAUGUAAUGUAAUAAUUUUAAAAAUUAAUUAAAAAAUUAUAUUCGAAAAAAUAAUUUUAUU